rnacentral:misc_RNA from 1 species
GGUACAAAUAGCAUCAUCGACAAAAGGACAAGGGUCAAAAAGGCCUAGAAGCGAAGGAAUUCCAGAGUUCAUGAUCGCAGAUACUAUACCAAAAGAUUUAUGGCAAUGGUGCACAGACAUGGGAAGUCAUGAGAAAAAAAGAGUAAAGGAACACUUGGGGCAUUUAGUGCAUCUUAUGGAGAUUGACCCUAGAAGGGAUGUGGUCGAGGCAUUGAUUCCUUUUUGGGAUCCCAGAAAUAAUGUAUUUUGUUUUUCUGACU